rnacentral:rRNA from 1 species
AGUGAACGCUGGCGGCAGGCCUAACACAUGCAAGUCGAACGGCAGCACAAGAGAGCUUGCUCUCUGGGUGGCGAGUGGCGGACGGGUGAGGAAUGCAUCGGAAUCUGACCAUUUGUGGGGGAUAACCUCGGGAAACCGGGACUAAUACCGCAUACGACCUACGGGUGAAAGCAGGGGAUCUUCGGACCUUGCGCAGAUGGAUGAGCCGAUGCCGGAUUAGCUAGUUGGAGGGGUAAAGGCCCACCAAGGCGACGAUCCGUAGCUGGUCUGAGAGGAUGAUCAGCCACACUGGGACUGAGACACGGCCCAGACUCCUACGGGAGGCAGCAGUGGGGAAUAUUGGACAAUGGGCGCAAGCCUGAUCCAGCCAUGCCGCGUGUGUGAAGAAGGCCUUCGGGUUGUAAAGCACUUUUGUUGGGAAAGAAAAGCAGCCGGUUAAUACCCGGUUGUCAUGACGGUACCCAAAGAAUAAGCACCGGCUAACUUCGUG